rnacentral:rRNA from 1 species
AGUGAACGCUGGCGGUAGGCCUAACACAUGCAAGUCGAACGGCAGCACAGUAAGAGCUUGCUCUUACGGGUGGCGAGUGGCGGACGGGUGAGGAAUACAUCGGAAUCUACUUUUUCGUGGGGGAUAACGUAGGGAAACUUACGCUAAUACCGCAUACGACCUACGGGUGAAAGCAGGGGAUCUUCGGACCUUGCGCGAUUGAAUGAGCCGAUGUCGGAUUAGCUAGUUGGCGGGGUAAAGGCCCACCAAGGCGACGAUCCGUAGCUGGUCUGAGAGGAUGAUCAGCCACACUGGAACUGAGACACGGUCCAGACUCCUACGGGAGGCAGCAGUGGGGAAUAUUGGACAAUGGGCGCAAGCCUGAUCCAGCCAUACCGCGUGGGUGCAGAAGGGCUUCGGGUUGUAAAGCCCUUUUGUUGGGAAAGAAAAGCAGCAGGUUAAUACCCCGCUGUUCUGACGGUACCCAAAGAAUAAGCACCGGCUAACUUCGUG